GAUCAACGCUGGCGGCGUGCUUAACACAUGCCAGUCGAACGAAGUUUUUCCUUCGGGAGACACUUAGUGGCGGACGGGUGAGUAACGCGUGGGUAACCUGCCCUGUACAGGGGGACAACAGCUGGAAACGGCUGCUAAUACCGCAUAAGCACUUAGCACUGCAUGGUGCAUAGGGAAAAGGAGCAAUCCGGUACAGGAUGGACCCGCGUCUGAUUAGCCAGUUGGCAGGGUAACGGCCUACCAAAGCGACGAUCAGUAGCCGAUCUGAGAGGAUGUACGGCCACAUUGGGACUGAGACACGGCCCAGACUCCUACGGGAGGCAGCAGUGGGGAAUAUUGCACAAUGGAGGAAACUCUGAUGCAGCGACGCCGCGUGAGUGAAGAAGUAUUUCGGUAUGUAAAGCUCUAUCAGCAGGGAAGAAAAUGACGGUACCUGACUAAGAAGCACCGGCUAAAUACGUG
rnacentral:rRNA from 1 species